rnacentral:rRNA from 1 species
UACGUAGGGGGCAAGCGUUGUCCGGAUUUAUUGGGCGUAAAGAGCGUGUAGGCGGUUCGGUAGGUCCGUUGUGAAAACUCGAGGCUCAACCUCGAGACGCCGAUGGAAACCCUCGAACUAGAGUCCGGAAGAGGAGAAUGGAAUUCCUGGUGUAGCGGUGAAAUGCGCAGAUAUCGGGAAGAACACCCGUGGCGAAGGCGGCUCUCUGGGACGGUACUGACGCUGAGACGCGAAAGCGUGGGGAGCGAACAGG